GUAAGUGGGGAUAACGUAGCGAAAGUUACGCUAGUACCGCAUACGCUCGGAGAGAGGAAAGUGGGGGAUCGCAAGACCUCACGUUAUAGGAGCGGCCGAUGUCCGAUUAGCUAGUUGGUGGGUAAAGGCCUACCAAGGCGACGAUCGGUAGCUGGUCUGAGAGGAUGAUCAGCCACACUGGGACUGAGACACGGCCCAGACUCCUACGGGAGGCAGCAGUGGGGAAUUUUGGACAAUGGGCGAAAGCCUGAUCCAGCCAUGCCGCGUGCGGGAAGAAGGCCUUCGGGUUGUAAACCGCUUUAGUCCGGGAAAAAGGGGUGCGAGGAUAAUACCCUCGUGCUUUGAUGGUACUGGAAGAAUAAGCACCGGCUAACUACGUG
rnacentral:rRNA from 1 species